rnacentral:rRNA from 1 species
UACGUAGGCAGCAAGCGUUGUUCGGAGUUACUGGGCGUAAAGGGUGUGUAGGCGGUUGUUUUAAGUUUGGUGUGAAAUCUCCCGCUCAACCGGGAGGGUGCGCCGAAUACUGAAUAACUAGAGUGCGGGAGAGGAAAGUGGAAUUCCUGGUGUAGCGGUGAAAUGCGUAGAUAUCUGGAGGAACACCGGUGGCGAAGGCGACAUCCUGGACCGGUAUUGACGCUGAGGCGCGAAAGCCAGGGGGAGCAAACGGG